rnacentral:rRNA from 1 species
AGGCGGUUUUUUAAAGUUCUGAAGGUGAAAAGCCCCCCGGCUUAACCGGGGAGGGUCAUUUGGAAAACUGGGGAAACUUUGAGUGCAGAAAGAAGGAGAGUGGAAUUUCCACGUGUAGCGGUGAAAUUGCGUAGAGAUGUGGAGGAACACCAGUGGCGAAGGCGACUCUCUGGUCUGUAACUGACGCUGAGGAGCGAAAGCGUGGGGAGCGAACAGGAUUAGAUACCCUGGUAGUCCACGCCGUAAACGAUGAGUGCUAAGUGUUAGGGGGUUUCCGCCCCUUAGUGCUGCAGCUAACGCAUUAAGCACUCCGCCUGGGGAGUACGGUCGCAAGACUGAAACUCAAAGGAAUUGACGGGGGCCCGCACAAGCGGUGGAGCAUGUGGUUUAAUUCGAAGCAACGCGAAGAACCUUACCAGGUCUUGACAUCCUCUGACAAUCCUAGAGAUAGGACGUCCCCUUCGGGGGCAGAGUGACAGGUGGUGCAUGGUUGUCGUCAGCUCGUGUCGUGAGAUGUUGGGUUAAGUCCCGCAACGAGCGCAACCCUUGAUCUUAGUUGCCAGCAUUCAGUUGGGCACUCUAAGGUGACUGCCGGUGACAAACCGGAGGAAGGUGGGGAUGACGUCAAAUCAUCAUGCCCCUUAUGACCUGGGCUACACACGUGCUACAAUGGACAGAACAAAGGGCAGCGAAACCGCGAGGUUAAGCCAAUCCCACAAAUCUGUUCUCAGUUCGGAUCGCAGUCUGCAACUCGACUGCGUGAAGCUGGAAUCGCUAGUAAUCGCGGAUC